AGUGCGGAAUGGUGACAUGCAUCUAGGGUGUCUGUAAGGAGAUGAAGACCUACUUGCAGAACAAGGUAGGUUUGUUUCAGAGUUGAACUUCUUCCCUAUGCUUGGAUGAACCGGAGAUUGAACUUUACCACUCAACUUUUGCUUCGAAACUGAAACAAGAGCCAGCUGAAAAAUGUACAAACUGUCAGCAAGUGUGUAAUAAAAUCGAAAACUACCAGAGGUCAUUAGCUCAACUGGAAAGGACAGGCCCGACCAUGACCAUUGUGUCACAAGUCCCCAGUUUAAGUGACCGAUGGGACGAAACUAAUAUUAUAUGAUGUGGUUUCAGGUUUGGAGAUUACGUGUUUUGAUCCCGAACCUCCUGGUAUUC